UACGUAGGUGGCAAGCGUUGUCCGGAUUUACUGGGCGUAAAGAGCGCGCAGGCGGUCGAUCAAGUCGCGUGUGAAAGCCCCCGGCUCAACUGGGGAGGGUCACGCGAUACUGAUCGACUCGAAGGCAGGAGAGGGUAGUGGAAUUCCCGGUGUAGUGGUGAAAUGCGUAGAUAUCGGGAGGAACACCAGUGGCGAAGGCGACUACCUGGCCUGUUUCUUGACGCUGAGGCGCGAAAGCUAGGGGAGCAACGGG
rnacentral:rRNA from 1 species